GGGGGCGUUACGGAUUCGACAGGCAUAGUUGAGCUUGAAUUGCGUUUCGUAGGUUACGGCUACGUUAAAACGUUACAGUUAAAUAUAACUGCUAAAAACGAAAACAAUUCUUUCGCUUUAGCUGCCUAAAAACCAGCUAGCGAAGAUCCUCCCGGCAUCGCCCAUGUGCUCGGGUCAGGGUCCUAAUCGAAGUGGGAUACGCUAAAUUUUUCCGUCUGUAAAAUUUAGAAGAGCUUACCAGACUAGCAAUACAGAAUGCCUGUCACUCGGCACGCUGUAAAGCGAACGAACCUUUAAAUGAGUGUCUAUGAACGUAGAGAUUUAAGUGGCAAUAUGUUUGGACGCGGGUUCGACUCCCGCCGUCUCCAUUU
rnacentral:tmRNA from 1 species